UGGACCAGUGAUGCCUGGUGGUGUGUGAGCCAUGGAUGGUGAAUACCAUGUGCCUGAAACUCUGAGGUCCAA
rnacentral:snoRNA from 1 species